rnacentral:rRNA from 1 species
CCCUUAGAUGUUCUGGGCCGCACACGCGCUACACUGAUGCAUUCAACGAGUCCAACCUUGACCGAGAGGUCCGGGUAAUCUUUGAAACUGCAUCGUGAUGGGGCUAGAUUAUUGCAAUUAUUAAUCUUCAACGAGGAAUGCCUAGUAAGCGUGAUUCAUCAAAUCGCGUUGAUUACGUCCCUGCCCUUUGUACACACCGCCCGUCGCUCCUACCGAUUGAGUGUGUUGGUGAGGAGUUUGGAUUGGCCUCGGAAGGUGGUUCGCCACCGUCCGUAGCUGAGAAGUUCUCCAAACCGCCCCACUUAGAGGAAGGAGAAGUCGUAACA